UUUCUCUGUAAUUUUACACUGUUCAUAUUUAACAUUUAACCAUUCAUCUUAUUUUAAAAAUUUGUAUAAUUAGUAUUUUUAUUAUUGUUAGAUGAUAAAACAUAAAUAGUAUCACUGUUUUUUAACUUUUUUAUAAUUUUUUAAAUAAAAUGGACGGUUAAAUACUGAACAUGGAAACCCAAACCCACGGUUUCA
rnacentral:pre_miRNA from 1 species